UACAACACGUCGGUUAUGGCGAGGCGUCCAGGUUCAGAGCUUCUCUCUCCUUCGUUUGGUUUUGUAGAUAUCAAAAUCUCUUUGCUACUGUGCUAAUAGGAUUCGGCUUAAUCUGGAGAUGGCUGCCGAUGUUAUAGAGCCGUGGUUUAUUGGUUUCGGCGGUUAACACGGUUUCUUCUGUUAACAAUCUUUCAUGAUUCGUUAUUAACAAUCUUUCAUGAUUCGUUGUUUUUGGGGUUGGAUGAUUUGAUUUUGAUGGAGAUCGAUCGAUUUUGGUUUUUUUGUUGGUGUGAUUUAGGACUGGACUGGUUUGAUGGCGGUGGCUGCCAAGGAGCAAACGGUUUUGUAAAUCGGUUUAAUUGGUUGUUUGCAGAGAUGGAAUUAUCGUUUCGUUAAAAAUCUUUUAUAACUUUCUCAGAAAAACCUUGACUCGAUAUGGAUUGUGAUGCAUCGUGGUUUUGUUGAUGUGUUGCUAGGAUUUGGCCCGUGAAGGCUGCAGUCCGUACAUAUAGCCAUGGGCAGAGCUUCGGCUUUUAUCGGUUUUGCACGGAUUAUAUCUGAUCUACUCACCUUCCUUUUAUACUAUUUAAUACUAUUAUGUGAUUUUGGCUGCCUCCUUCGACUGAGUUUUGGAUGGAUUUUGUUCCUAUUGGUUUAGGAUACGGCUCAGUGGUGGCGGCUAGGAGUUCUAUUCGGUUUCAGUGAUCUACUCAUUCCUUCUCAAUUUGAUACCUUGGUUUUGGCAGUGAUCAACUCAUUUAACACAUCUCUUUUCAAUAUUUGUUGAAACCUGGGUUUUGGCACGUUUUAGUUCUAAGUGGAUCAAGUUUUUUCUUGCUCUGUUUUAGGGUGUGCUGGUAUUUGUGCUGGUGAUAGCUAGCAGCUGUGGUGCUUCGACUCUCUUUGGUUUCCAGAAUCAAUUUAUUCCAUUCAAUUAUCUUCCAUUCUUUCCCAAACCUUAUCUUGAUUUUGAUUUUAGGAUUUGUCUGCUAUAUUGGUAGGUGCAAGCACUGGGCAGAGUAAAAAUAUGUUCAUUCGGCUGUAUAAUUGGUUUGGCGAUCGACUGUUAUUUCUUUCAAAACCUCAACUUUUUUUUUCCCUAAUUUUUUCUUCACCUGUCUGCUCUGGUUUAGAUUGAGUUGUUAUUGGUGUUCUUUAAUUAGGAGAAUUUUGGAGUUUUGGCGGUGGUAUUUGCAAUGGCGAUACAAGCAGGAUUUGGGGUUUUUGAGUUGGUUUCAUCGGUUCCUUCUUAACUAACUUUCUAUCUUUUUAAAAUAAACUUUUUUCCUUAGGUUCUUUUCGCGCUCAUGCUACAUUUAUUGAUGUGUAUCAGGGAUUGGCUUACCAAGGAGGAGUUCCCUGGUUUCUGCGAUUUGUUCUUUCCUUCAAAUCUUUUCUUUCAAAUUUUUUUUUUUUCAAAAUGUUGAUUUCUUUUUUUUCUUUUAUCUUUCAUAAAUAGUGUUUGGUUUUUAUUUACAGAUGCUGAAUUUGUAAAGGACGUUAAAAACGGUUGGGUACUGACAGCACUGUUUUGGUCUGCAUUAUUGUAUUCUGUAUGUGGAUAUGGUUUUAUUGCUAGGAGUAGGGAUUCAUGCAUGAGGGAGUUCUUGGCUUACGUUUAGUUCAACAAUGAUAUGAUGGAAUUAUGUUAUGCAUGUGCAGGGUUGUUAGAGGAGGUUGUAAAAUUAAGGAAAUGCACUUCUUCAUGAGGGGGUUUGAUUCUUCUUGGCUAAAUAUGUUAAUUACAGAAUCUGUACUUGAAAAAUGCUGAUGUCUUUCAACAUUCUGAACUUCAUGGAUGAUACAUAGGGGUGGUGUGUAUUUUCAGGAUUGAAGAGGAUGUGUAUUAAUAUUUAUAUAAUUACAACCCUACACUUGCUGUUAUUAGAUAUUGAAAUUGGAUUUUCGCUUUGUUGGUGUGCUAAUAAGAGCCAAGUCAUCCCUUUGCUAAUAUGUUACUCUUAAAAUCUUUCCUUGUUGUUUCAUGGUUGGAUUUCUCGGUUUUGAUGGAGAAUGGUUAUGGUUUUGUGGUUUUUGUUGCUACUGUGAUCUUAGGGUUUGGCUUAAUUUCGAGAUGGCUUCAGAUGUUGGACACGGAUGAUUGGUUUUUGGCGGUUUAACUCGUAUCGUUCCUUGACUAAUUUUUUUCAUCUCUUAACAAUCAUUCAUGAUUCAUUGUUUUUGGAGUUGGAUGAUUCGAUGUUGAUGGAGAUCGAUUCUGGUUUUUGUUGGUGUGAUUUCAGGACUGGACUGGUUUGGUGGUGAUGGCUGACGCGGUCUAUAUAAGCAAACAGCUUUGUAAAUCGGUUUAUUGGUUUUGCAGAGAUCGAAUUAUUGUGUCGAUUUCUGGGAAGGAAUCGUAGUUUUAUUGAUGUGAUUUUAGGAUUUGGCCGAUGAAGGUUGCAGUCCGUACAUAUAGCAAUGGCCAGAGCUGCGGCUUCUAUCGGUUUACUCAGAUUAAUUUUGCUAUUUUUACCUUUCAAACUAUUAACUUCUUUAUCUGCCUCCUAAGAUCUGAGUUAUGGAUGGAUUGUGUUCCUAUUGGUUUAGGAUACGGCUCGGUGGUGGUGGUGGCUAGAAGAUUUUGUUCUCAGGCUUAAUUGGUUUUCAGGGAUCAACCUUCUAAAUAUUUGUUAAAUACCUUGGUUUGGCAAGUGUAUCAAAGUUUUUCCUUGCUCUGUUAUAUGUGUGCUGGUAUUGUGCUCGUGAUGACUAGCCUAGCAAGCAGCUGUGGUGGUUCGAGUGCUUGAGCUUCCUUUGGUUUCCUAGAUCAAGUCUUUCAUUCAAUCAUCUCCCAAUUCCCAUUCUUUUCUAAACCCUAUUUUGAUUUUGACUUAUGGAUUUGGCUGGUAUUGGUAGGUGCAAGUGCUGGGCAGAGUUAAAUUAUGUGAUUCGGCUGUAUUUGGUUUGGCAAUCAAUCAUUCUGUUUUUCAAAUCUCUCUCUUUUGUUUUUUUUUUUUUUUUCUUUCGCUCAGGUGUCUGCUCUGGUUUAGAUUGAGUUGUUAUUGGUGUUCUUUAAUUAGGAGAAUUUUGGAGUUUCGGCUGCAGUGUUUGCAAUACAAGCAGGAUUUGGGGUUUAUCAGUUGGUUUCAUCGGUCAAACCUGUUCCUUUUUAAUAAACUUUCUACCUUUUUUAUAAUAAAAUUUUGCUUGAAUUCUUUUUGCACUCAUGCUACUUUUAUUGAUUUGUAUCAGGGAUUGGCUAACCAAGCAGGAGUUCCCUGGUUUCUGCGAUUUGUUUGUUCCUUCAAAUCUUUUAUCUUAUAUCAAAAUGUUCGAUUAAUAGCUGUGGUGCUUCGUGUGCUUCGACUCUCUUUGGUUUCCAGAAUCAAUUUAUUCCAUUUUUUCCCAAACCUUAUCUUGAUUUUGAUUUUAGGAAUUGUCUGCUAUAUUGGUAGGUGCAAGCACUGGGCAGAGUAAAAAUAUGUUCAUUCGGCUGUAUUUGGUUUGGCGAUCGACUGUUGUUUCUUUCAAAAUCUCAACUUUUUUUUUCCCUAAUUUUUUCUUCACCCGUCUGCUCUGGUUUAGAUCGAGUUGUUAUUGGUGUUCUUUAAUUAGGAGAAUUUUGGAGUUUUGGCGGCGGUAUUUGCAAUGGCUAUAUAAGCAGGAUUUGGGGUAUACAAGCAGGAUUUGGGGUUUUUCAUUUGGUUUCAUCGGUUCCUUCUUAAUUAACUUUCUAUCUUUUUAAAAUGAACUUUUUUCCUUCGGUUCUUUUCGCGCUCAUGCUACAUUUAUUGAUGUGUAUCAGGGAUUGGCUUACCGAGCAGGAGUUCCCUGGUUUCUGCAAUUUGUUCUUUCCUUCAAAUCUUUUCUUUUUCAAAAUGUUCAUUGAUUCUUGUUUUUCUUUAUGUUUCAUAAGUAGUGUUUGGUUUUUGUUUACAGAGCUGAAUUUGUAAAGGACUUUCCAAUUCUGAAAUCAUACUGAGUGACGUUAAAACGGUUGGGUACUGACAGCUCUCUGUUUUGGUCCGCAUAUUGUAUUCUGUAUAUGGAUAUGGUUUUAUUGCUAGGAGUAGGGAUUCAUGCAUGAGGGAGUUUGAUGCUUCUUGGCUUUACCGUUUAGUUCAACAAUGAUAUGAUGGAACUAUGUUCUGCAUGUGCAGGGUUGUUAGAGGAGGUUGUAAAAUUGGGGAAAUGCACUUCUUCAUGAGGGGGUUUGAUUCUUUCAACAUUCUGAACUUCAUGGAUGAUAUAUAGGGGUGGUGUAUUUUCAGGAUUGAAGAGGACGUGUAUUAAUAUUUAUAGAAUUACAACGCUACACUUGCCGUUAUUAGAUAUUGAAAUUGGAUUUUCGCUUUGCUGGUGUGCUAAUAAAAGCCAAUUCAUCCAGUCAUCCCCUUGCUAAUAUGCUGCUCCUCUUAAAGUCUUUCCUUAUUUGUUGUUUUGUGGUUGGAUUUCUCGGUUUUGAUGGAGAAGCGUUAUGGUUUUGUGGUUGUUGCUGCUGCUGUGAUCUUAGGGUUUGGCUUAAUUCGGAGAUGGCUGCAGUCUGCAGAUGUUACAUGAUUGGUUUUGGCGGUUAACUCAUUCUGUUCCUUGGCUAAUUUGUUUCAUCUCUUAAGAAUUUUUCAUGAUUCAUUGUUUUUGGGGUUGGAUGAUUUGAUUUUGAUGGAGAUCGAUUCUGGUUUUUGUUGGUGUGAUAUAGGACUGGACUGGUUUGGUGGUGAUGGCUGAUGCGGUCUAUAUAAGCAAACGGCUUUGUAAAUCGGUUUAUUGGUUUGCAGAGAUCGAAUUAUUGUGUCUUUAAUUUCUUUAUUCCUUCCCAGAAAUUGUAGUUUCAUUGAUGUGAUUUUAGGAUUUGGUCGGUGAAGGUUGCAGUCCGUACAUAUAGCAAUGGCCAGAGCUUCAGCUUUUAUUGGUUCACUCGGAUUAAAUCUGCUAUUUUUACCUUCCUUUGAAACUAUUAACUUCUUUAUCUGCCUUCUAAGAUCUGAGUUAUGGAUGGAUUGUUUUCCUAUUGGUUUAGGAUACGGCUCGGUGGUGGUGGUGGCUAGGAGAUUUUGUUCUCAGGCUUAAUCAGUUUUCAGGGAUCAACCUUCUAAAUAUUUGUUAAAUACCUUGGUUUGGCAGUGAUCAACUCAUUCCUUGGCAAUAUUUUUUGAAACUUUGGUUUUGGGCAUGUUUUAAAUCCAAGUGUGUCAAAAGUUUUUCCUUGCUCUGUUUUAGGUGUGCGGGUAUUGUGCUGGUGAUGGCUAGCAAGCAGCUGUGGUGCUUCAUGUGCUUGAGCUUCCUUUGGUUUCCCAAAUCAAAUCUAUUUCAUUCAAUCAUCUCCCAAUUCCCAUUAUUUCUAAACCCUAUUUUGAUUUUAAGGAUUUGGCUGGUAUUUGUAGGUGCAAGGGCUGGGCAGAGUUAAAUUAUGUGAUUCGGCUGUAUUUGGUUUGGCAAUCAAUCAUUCUUUUUUUCUUUUUUUUUUCCUUUCAGGUGUCUGCUCUGGUUUAGAUGAGUUGUUGUUGGUGUUCUUUAAUUAGGAGAAUUUUGGAGUUUCGGCUGCAGUGUUUGCAAUACAAGCAGGAUUUGGGGUUCAUCAGUUGGUUUCAUCGGUCAAACCUGUUCCUUUUUAACAAACUCUACCUUUUUAAAAUAAAAUUUUGCUUGAAUUCUUUUUGCACUCAUGCUACGUUUAUUGAUUUGUAUCAGGGAUUAAAUCUUUUUUGUUAUCUUCAUUCUCUUCCAAAACCUCAUUAUUUUUUCAUGGGUGUAUUUAGGAUGGCUGGAAGUACUGGGCAGGAGUUGAAUAGCCUUUUUCGGAUUUAUUUGGUUUGGGCGAUCAACUCGUAUUUUACUGUUAAAAUUCUCUUAAAAGUCUUUUUUUUUUUUUUUUUUUUUUUUCUUGUUAACGAGUGUAGGAGGAUUUUUCAUACAAUGACUAGUUGUCGAUUUUCAGCAAUCAUCUCAUUCCUUCUCAAUAGACCUUUUUUCAACUAAUUACUGAAUACUUUGUUUGGCUCAUACCAUGUUAGUGUAUCAGGGUUUGGCAUGGUUUCACAAAGUCGGAGAAUCUGCACUUCUGCUUUUAUUGCUAGGACUAGGAUCAUUCAUGUAGGAAAAGAUUUGAUGAUUUUUGGGUUACAAUUUAGUGUUUGCAAGUUUUCUGUUUAUGGAUUAGCAAGUCAUUCAGCAAUCAUAUGAUUGGAGUGUUGGUCUGCAUGUGCUUUUCAGGGUUGUGAGAGGAGCUGCCAUGGUUGAAGGUACUUCUUCAGGAAGGUGUUUGAUGCUUCUUGGCUCGAGUUUAAUUUCAUAAAAUUUUCAAUCUGAGUAACCUUCUUUCAACAUAUACUGAACUGUCUAUUUUCAGUAUUUAAACAAAUUUUAACUUUGUUCCUUCUGCAAUAGUUUUGAUGGGUCAUACCGUUAAUUGGUGUUGGGAUAUUGCUGGCUGCAAGUGCUUAUAGCGGGGCAGGGGCACAACUCUGUGCUUUGGUUUCAAUUGUUCUAGGCAAUCAACUUGACUUUGUCAAGAGUUCAAUUCUGAUCACAUUACUUUGUUGUUUCUCAAAUUCUUGUCAUUUUCAAAAGUUCUGAAAAUUUUGAUUCCCAUGAUUGGAACUUAUUGAUCAGUAUGGAUUUCUGAAGGAGGGAUGUGAUGCUUCUUGGCUUACAAUUUAGUUUUUGAAAAUGUUUCAAUGUAGAAUGGACCCCUCAAUUAUUCAACAGUGGAAUGAUUGAAUAUUGCUGUGUCUAUUUCAGGUUGUGAAGGGAAUACGUAUCUCUUCAGAAAUAAGGGUUUGAUGCUUCUUGUCUUGGUUAUUUAGGAAUUUAAAUCUAGUUACCAGUGUUCAUUCAGAAAAUGCCAAGUCUUUGUUGGUUUUCAAUUGCCUGUUCGGUUAAUUAGAUAGAGAUAGUUAUGAUAUUGCUGAUGUGUUUUAGGGUUUGGAAUUGGUGUGGUUGGUGGCUGCAUAUGCAAGUGGUUGUGUGUUUAGGGUUUGGAAUUGGUGUGGUUGGUGGCUGCGGAUGCAAGUGGUUGUGUGUUUUUGGGUCUAUGGUUGCAGGGAGUUGAUUUAUUCUUUUGUUAAUUUCUUCUUGGUUUUUCUAAUCUACAAAUGAGAUGUUGAUAUUUUCUCUAUUGUUCUUGCUUUAGGAUUUGGCUGCUGUGUGAUGGUGGGCAAUGUCUUAUACACGCAGGAUUAUUUCUUUGCUUUCAAGGGUCAACUCAUUCCUUUCAAAUUUGUUUUUUCACUACUUGUUUUCAGGCCCAGCAUUGUGGUUACGGUCUUUCUUGGUGUUUUUUGAGAUUUGGCCUGCAGGAGUAAUUUUUGCCUCAGUUCUGUUUGUUUUGGUGGUCGACUGAUUGUAAAGCAAGAGUUCUUUUCCAACAAAUUCUUAAAAUUUUCAAUAUAGUAUAGACUUGAUGUUAAGAUGUGAAUAUGUGAAUCAUGGAUAGUGUUUGUAGACAGUAUUUGAUGGCCAGAGGAUUUUGGAUAUCUGCAUGAGGGGGUUUGUUGGUUUGUUAUGAAUGUGGAGUUCUGAAUCAUUCACAAAGUAGGGUUGAAUAUUGGGUUAAGAUUUAGAUUUUCCAAUAUUGGGUUUCUGUGUACUUUCAAUAAUUCAAUCAAUAUUUGGUUCUUCUCAGGUUUCUAAUUAGAAUAUUUAUUGAGAAGAUCUCUGCAUUUUUGGCAAAUUACCAUCAAGUAUCAAACCUUGAAUUUGGUGGGUUGUGGUGUUGGACUUGCUACUGCUUUCUAUUCAGGAUUCUUGGACGGCUUAUUCCUGUAGCAGGUUUGAGUAUUUUGCUUAGAUAUCAUUGCAUUGUUCUCAUCGGUUGUGUUCUUGGGGUUUGGCUGGUAUUUGGAGAGACUGUUGACGUUUGUAUAGUGAGCGCUACUGUGAUACAGUUGUUUGGUUUUUGGUGUUAUUUACUACUUGCUAGGUUUAGAAUGUUUUUCUUGUUUCCACUACCUGCUAGAUUUAGAAUGGAUUGUGGUUGUUAUUGGUGUCCUUCAGGAGGAUUAUGGCUGCUGCGUUGGUGGUGGCUACAGAUUUUUCUUCCAAGGUUUCAGUGGUUUAUUAUCCUUACUGCAGUUUUGGAACAAAAGGUGUUUCUGAAUUCUUUCCUUUGGCUCAUGCACAUGUUGUUGUGUAUUAGGCGUAUUAGGCUUAGCAAGCAACUUCUUUAUCGGUUUUGGCCAUUAAUUUAUCAUUUUGUUAUCUUUCGGUGACUUUCACUUGGGUUUUAACUACAGAUGCUGCUGUGUUUCUUCAGAGGGGGUACGAUUUCCUCAAUGCUGAUUAAGGGUUGGUAUUACUUGUCUUUAUCUCAUAGUGGUUGCUUAUGCUUGCUUGUCACUUGUUUCUGUUGUUAGGUAUGGAUUAAAUUUUUGAAGUUUCCAUUAUUGAAUUCAUAGGGGAAGCUGUUUUCUGGUUUAUCACUUCUUUUGGUUAUUAGUGUAGGAGGAUUUAGACUGCUGUAUCACUGGUGUCUAAACAUCGGGUUCACUUAUGUGUUUCUGCUUUAUUCUGUGGCCAAUUCAUUGCCGCACUUAUGUUUGUUCUUUUCCCUGGUCCAUUGGCAUGGCGAGCUGGAGUUUGGGUGGUUUAGUUGUGUUCCAGGAGUUCUUUUUUUUUUUUUUUUUUCCAGUGUUUGAUUCUUCUCAAAAAAAUUUGAGUCCUUUUGUUAAUACUGUGUUUGGGAUUUUUAUCUACAGAUGCUGUGAUUUCGCGAAAAGAUAAUCACUAAAUAGGUUUGGUAUCAUCAUGGAUCCUUGCCUCUGUUCAUUCGUAUUCAUUGAUUGUUCUUGUUCUUAUGCUGGUUUGAUGAUCUUGUUUUUAUGUGAGUUUAGGGUUUCUUAUGCCUCUGUAAAGACUGCUUAUUAAAAUUUGUAUGGGGUCUGCUGUAGGGGUUUGGUAGAGAAGAUUUCUUUCCAAGAGUGGGUUUUUAUUUUGGUUGGUCUGUUGGUAAGACGGGCAGUUUUGUGGUCCGGGGGUCAAUUUGAUUCCUAUGUUCUCAUAUUAUUGGUUGCUACAACAAUUUGGCUGUGAUGUCUAAUGGUACUUGCUGCAUUGUAUUCGAAGGGUUUUUCACCUAUUCUACUGGUCAAAAAUUAGGGUUUAGGGUUUUCCCUAGUGUGAUGAUAUCAGGUUUCAGUGUUGAAACUGGCUGGCAGAAGUUGUUUAUCUGCAGAUAAUUCAGUAGUUUCUGCUCUUCUGGUUGAUGUCUGCUUGGGUGAUGUCUUGUUGUUGUUAAAAGUGCUGGUUGAUGUAUAGUUGAGUAUAAAACAGUUGUUUGUUGAAUGAAGAUCAUUUAUGUUCUUCUCUGUGCCUCGUCAAGUGUCAUAUGAAGAACUCUGAAAUGAAGAUCACUUUAUGUUGUCUCAUUAUUCAAAAGUUGGCUUGGUGUUGACCUCUAGUGUUCGCAACAAGAGGGUUGUCUGCUUUUAUAGUAGUUGGUGUUUGCGCUGCAUUAUCUGUAUUGAGCUGCAUUCCUCUUCUCCAAGUUCUCCCUGUUGGAUACCUUGUUUACUCUUCUCUGGUGGUGGUUUUAUGCUUUGGAGUUGGUUUGUUUGGGGCAUGAUGCUAUGUUUUCGAGCUCAGUUCAGCUUUGGUUCUGUCUUAGAUAUAGGUUAGUAUGUGUGCGCUAUUUGCUUGGGGAAACUAUAACGAGUAGUGCUAUGACUAAUGUGCACCGAGUUUAUUAGGUUUAGGUUUGUAUAUAUUAAGAAAUGUGUGGUUGAAUGCUAUUUGCUUGGUGGAAAAUAUUACCAAUUGUGUAAUGCUAUGAUUAGGUAUGUAGGAUGUAAUUACUAUGUAGUUAAUUAGGUUAGGUUAAUGGAAUGUAGCUCAAAUAUGGUAGAGCUCUCGAGCUUGCAACUUGCAAGAUUUCGAGAAGAUCAAGGUUCAAAUCCUUGUGUUCCACUAUAUUGAUUCUUGUUCAAUCUUCUGAAAUUGGUAAAGUAUUUUUCUGUAUUGAUUAA